rnacentral:tRNA from 1 species
GUUCUUGUAGUAAAAUAAUUACAGUGGUUCUUCAAGUCAUUGGUCCCGGUUAAAGUCCGAGCAGGAAUU